rnacentral:rRNA from 1 species
GGGGGGGGGGGGGGGCGGGCUGAGCAGAUGCAGGUCGAACGGAAAGGCCCUGCUGUUGUGGGGUGCUCGAGUGGCGAACGGGUGAGUAACACGUGAGUAACCUGCCCUUGACUUUGGGAUAACUUCAGGAAACUGGGGCUAAUACCGGAUAGGAGCUCCUGCUGCAUGGUGGGGGUUGGAAAGUUUCGGCGGUUGGGGAUGGACUCGCGGCUUAUCAGCUUGUUGGUGGGGUAGUGGCUUACCAAGGCUUUGACGGGUAGCCGGCCUGAGAGGGUGACCGGCCACAUUGGGACUGAGAUACGGCCCAGACUCCUACGGGAGGCAGCAGUGGGGAAUAUUGCACAAUGGGCGGAAGCCUGAUGCAGCAACGCCGCGUGCGGGAUGACGGCCUUCGGGUUGUAAACCGCUUUCGCCUGUGACGAAGCGUGAGUGACGGUAAUGGGUAAAGAAGCACCGGCUAACUACGUG